rnacentral:rRNA from 1 species
AGUGAACGCUGGCGGUAGGCCUAACACAUGCAAGUCGAACGGCAGCACAGUAAGAGCUUGCUCUUACGGGUGGCGAGUGGCGGACGGGUGAGGAAUACAUCGGAAUCUACUUUUUCGUGGGGGAUAACGUAGGGACACUUACGCUAACACCGCAUACGACCUACGGGUGAAAGCAGUGGUUCUUCGGACCUUGCCCGUCUGAAUGAGCCGAUGUCGGAUUAGCUAGUUGGCGGGGUAAAGGCCCACCAAGGCGACGAUCCGUAGCUGGUCUGAGAGGAUGAUCAGCCACACUGGAACUGAGACACGGUCCAGACUCCUACGGGAGGCAGCAGUAGGGAAUAUUGGGCAAAGGGCGCAAGCCUGAUCCAGCCAUACCGCGUGGGUGAAGAAGGCCUUCGGGUUGUAAAGCCCUUUUGUUGGGAAAGAAAAGCAGCAGGUUAAUACCCCGCUGUUCUGACGGUACCCAAAGAGUAAGCACCGGCUAACUUCGUG